rnacentral:rRNA from 1 species
GAGUUUGAUCAUGGCUCAGGAUGAACGCUGGCGGCGUGCCUAAUACAUGCAAGUCGAGCGAACGGACGAGAAGCUUGCUUCUCUGAUGUUAGCGGCGGACGGGUGAGUAACACGUGGAUAACCUACCUAUAAGACUGGGAUAACUUCGGGAAACCGGAGCUAAUACCGGAUAAUAUUUUGAACCGCAUGGUUCAAAAGUGAAAGACGGUCUUGCUGUCACUUAUAGAUGGAUCCGCGCUGCAUUAGCUAGUUGGUAAGGUAACGGCUUACCAAGGCAACGAUGCAUAGCCGACCUGAGAGGGUGAUCGGCCACACUGGAACUGAGACACGGUCCAGACUCCUACGGGAGGCAGCAGUAGGGAAUCUUCCGCAAUGGGCGAAAGCCUGACGGAGCAACGCCGCGUGAGUGAUGAAGGUCUUCGGAUCGUAAAACUCUGUUAUUAGGGAAGAACAUAUGUGUAAGUAACUGUGCACAUCUUGACGGUACCUAAUCAGAAAGCCACGGCU